rnacentral:rRNA from 1 species
CACAUGCAAGUCGAACGGCAGCACAGCAGUAGCAUACUGUGGGUGGCGAGUGGCGGACGGGUGAGGAAUACAUCGGAAUCUACCUUGUCGUGGGGGAUAACGUAGGAAACUUACGCUAAUACCGCAUACGAACUAUGGUUGAAAGCGGCGGACCGCAAGGCGUCGCGCGAUUGGAUCGAGCCGAUGUCCGAUUAGCUAGUUGGCGGGGUAAAGGCCCACCAAGGCGACGACCGGUAGCUGGUCUGAGAGGAUGAUCAGCCACACUGGAACUGAGACACGGUCCAGACUCCUCACGGGAGGCAGCAGUGGGGAAUCAUUGGACAAUGGGCGCAAGCCUGAUCCAGCCAUGCCGCGUGUCGUCGAAGAAGGCCUUCGGGUUCGUAAAGCACUUUCAGUCUGGAGGAAGCACACAGCACUCAAUUAAUACCUGGGAUGUUCUGACGGUACCCAAAGAAUAGCACCGGAUACC